GAUGAACGCUAGCGGCAGGCCUAACACAUGCAAGUCGAGGGGUAGAGUUAGCUUGCUAACUUGAGACCGGCGCACGGGUGCGUAACGCGUAUGCAAUCUACCUUGUACAGGGGGAUAGCCCAGAGAAAUUUGGAUUAAUACCCCAUGGUGUUUAGAAGUGGCAUCACUUUUUUACUAAAGUUCCAACGGUACAAGAUGAGCAUGCGUCCCAUUAGCUAGUUGGUAUGGUAACGGCAUACCAAGGCUAUGAUGGGUAGGGGUCCUGAGAGGGAGAGCCCACACACUGGUACUGAGACACGGACCAGACUCCUACGGGAGGCAGCAGUGAGGAAUAUUGGUCAAUGGUCGCAAGACCGAACCAGCCAUGCCGCGUGCAGGAAGACGGUCCUAUGGAUUGUAAACUGCUUUUAUACAGGAAGAAACCCUCGCACGUGUGGGAGCUUGACGGUACUGUAUGAAUAAGCAUCGGCUAACUCCGUGCCAGCCGCCGCCGUAAGAC
rnacentral:rRNA from 1 species